AGGUAUACUCUGAAUGGGGCUUCCGUUAGAUACUCGUAUAAGGCCCAGCAGUUCAUGUUAAAUCCAACCAUGCAUGAAAUGCCGAGUAAGGCCACGAAUACUAGAAACAUGUCCGGGACACAAGGGUACAUGCACAGAAUAUGCAGUCAAACUAUUCCGGGAAAUUUGCCUUUGUUGAACAAUCUUUUGUACAUUCCUCUGAAGACCUUUGAGUGCAGCCUCGUGAGUAAUUAGUGGCGAUUCAUGGCGAGAACUUUCGGAGCUGUUCAAGCGUGACGCUAGUUCUGGAACACUUAACGGAUUAACUAUUUCUUUACUCUGUAGAGCUGCACAAUGAUGCGACUCAUAAAUAGAUCUGCCGAAAUCAUUGCAAGUGUAAUCAACAACCACAGCACGUGCCGCCUCGAGUGGAACAGGCGCCGGCCUAUUGCCAUCAAUUCUUCUUCUUCUAGCGCGUCAUUGACACACACCAAUAGCUCGUAAUGAGCCAAAUGAAAGAAGCCUCAGACUCACACUAUACUAUCAAAUAAA